UUCCUUUCACCGGGCUCUUCUUUCAGUUCAGGCGACGCCAUGGAUGACAGAUCCUCUGCAAUGGCAUCCUCGUCUGUGUAUGUCCAGACAAAUGAUGGACUGCGGGUCAAGGGCCUUCCUCCGCUAUCUCCAAUUUGUGUCACCAUCAGCAAGCAAUUCAUUCUUGAAUGAGCAAUUGAAACAAUUGGUGGCACACUCCAUCCAUUCACUUUUACCGGCACGGGCAACAAUGAUGUUGACGUCUCUGUCUCCAUUGACCUACCUCCCCAGAGCAAAAGCGUCUCAAACACAAGAAAGGAAUUUCAUGCCCCAUACAUUGAAUCUGCAUGUGUUGCCGUCCUCGUGUACCUACAGAGAACAGGUAUAGUCACAAUCGAUGAUGCAAACUUUGCAGUGCUGAAAAUGUGCAAAAGAAAACUUCAGGCUGAGGAGUUCUGGUCCUCGGCUCUCUACGAUAAGGCCAGCGCCCUGCGCGGCCAGCCCUCUUUACUGACUGUCGUCAACCAAAAACCCUAGCCUGAGGCUAAACAAGGAGCUACUAUGUUGCCUCCUAAGCAUCAGAGUACUGCAUAGACCAGCCAGAUAGUGCUCUCCAAGGAUGCCACUGGAGGAGAAACCACAUCAACCCUGAUACGUCUCCAACGUAUCUAUAAUUUUUGAUUGCUCCAUGCUAUAAUAUCUACUUUUUUGGACAUUAUUAGGCUUUAUUAUCCACUUUAA